UAGGGAAUCUUCCACAAUGGACGCAAGUCUGAUGGAGCAACGCCGCGUGAGUGAAGAAGGUCUUCGGAUCGUAAAGCUCUGUUGUUGGUGAAGAAGGAUAGAGGCAGUAACUGGUCUUUAUUUGACGGUAAUCAACCAGAAAGUCACGGCUAACUACGUGCCAGCAGCCGCGGUAAUACGUAGGUGGCAAGCGUUGUCCGGAUUUAUUGGGCGUAAAGCGAGCGCAGGCGGAAUGAUAAGUCUGAUGUGAAAGCCCACGGCUCAACCGUGGAACUGCAUCGGAAACUGUCAUUCUUGAGUGCAGAAGAGGAGAGUGGAACUCCAUGUGUAGCGGUGGAAUGCGUAGAUAUAUGGAAGAACACCAGUGGCGAAGGCGGCUCUCUGGUCUGCAACUGACGCUGAGGCUCGAAAGCAUGGGUAGCGAACAGGAUUAGAUACCCUGGUAGUCCAUGCCGUAAACGAUGAGCGCUAGGUGUUGGGGAC
rnacentral:rRNA from 1 species